GAUCCUGGCUCAGGGUGAACGCUAGCUACAGGCUUAACACAUGCAAGUCGAGGGGCAGCGGGAUUGAAGCUUGCUUCAAUUGCCGGCGACCGGCGCACGGGUGAGUAACGCGUAUCCAACCUUCCGUACACUCAGGGAUAGCCUUUCGAAAGAAAGAUUAAUACCUGAUGGUAUGAUGAGAUUGCAUGAUAUCAUCAUUAAAGAUUUAUCGGUGUACGAUGGGGAUGUCG
rnacentral:rRNA from 1 species